UGCAAGGUCAUUAGACCAGAACAAGAGGAAAACAGUGAACACUGGGAGAAAUAUACUCUUUGAAAACAGAAAAGAUACAAGAGAGAGAAAGAAAACGUCCAGUCCUUUGAACGUCCGUGCAGGAAAAGAAAGAUGGACGAUGGCUACGUAUGUG